rnacentral:rRNA from 1 species
ACUCCUACGGGAGGCAGCAGUGGGGAAUAUUGCACAAUGGGCAGCAAGCCUGAUGCAGCCAUGCCGCGUGUGUGAAGAAGGCCUUCGGGAGUUGUAAAGCACUUUCAGUCGUGAGGAAGGUAGUGUGAGUUAAUAGCUGCAUAUUUGACGUUAGCGACAGAAGGAAGCACCGGCUAACUCCGUGCCAGCAGCCGCGGUAAUACGGAGGGUGCGAGCAGGUUAAUCGGAAUUACUGGGCGUAAAGCGCAUGCAGGUGGUUUGUU